rfam:Apaloderma vittatum contig68319, whole genome shotgun sequence.
GGCCGGUUACCUCAGUCGGUUAGAGCACGGUGCUGAUAACACCAAGGUCGCGGGUUCGAUCCCUGCUCAGUCCC